CAGCAGCCGCGGUAAAACGUAGGGUGCGAGCGUUAAUCGGAAUUACUGGGCGUAAAGCGUGCGCAGGCGGUUUGUUAAGACAGAUGUGAAAUCCCCGGGCUUAACCUGGGAACUGCAUUUGUGACUGGCCGGCUAGAGUAUGGCAGAGGGAGGUGGAAUUCCACGUGUAGCAGUGAAAUGCGUAGAUAUGUGGAGGAACACCGAUGGCGAAGGCAGCCUCCUGGGCCAAUACUGACGCUCAUGCACGAAAGCGUGGGGAGCAAACAGGAUUAGAUACCCCCGUAGUCCCUGUCUCUUAUAA
rnacentral:rRNA from 1 species